CGAGGGGUAGAAGGAGCUUGCUCCUUUGAGACCGGCGCACGGGUGCGUAACGCGUAUGCAAUCUACCUUUCACAGAGGGAUAGCCCAGAGAAAUUUGGAUUAAUACCUCAUAGUAUAGCAGUUUCGCAUGAAACCACUAUUAAAGUCACAACGGUGAAAGAUGAGCAUGCGUCCCAUUAGCUAGUUGGUAAGGUAACGGCUUACCAAGGCAACGAUGGGUAGGGGUCCUGAGAGGGAGAUCCCCCACACUGGUACUGAGACACGGACCAGACUCCUACGGGAGGCAGCAGUGAGGAAUAUUGGACAAUGGGCGCAAGCCUGAUCCAGCCAUGCCGCGUGCAGGAUGACGGUCCUAUGGAUUGUAAACUGCUUUUGUACAGGAAGAAACACCUCUACGUGUAGAGACUUGACGGUACUGUAAGAAUAAGGAUCGGCUAACUCCGUGCCAGCAGCCGCGGUAAUACGGAGGAUCCAAGCGUUAUCCGGAAUCAUUGGGUUUAAAGGGUCCGUAGGCGGUUUAGUAAGUCAGUGGUGAAAGCCCAUCGCUCAACGGUGGAACGGCCAUUGAUACUGCUAGACUUGAAUUAUUAGGAAGUAACUAGAAUAUGUAGUGUAGCGGUGAAAUGCUUAGAGAUUACAUGGAAUACCAAUUGCGAAGGCAGGUUACUACUAAUUGAUUGACGCUGAUGGACGAAAGCGUGGGUAGCGAAC
rnacentral:rRNA from 1 species